AACAUCUUCAUGGACUUUUGAAUUAUGUGCAAAUGGAAGUCUCGCUUAGUCGCUUCACUCCCGACAGCGCCAGUAAAAUGCAACAGAGAGGUAUCCCCCUUACCACCAGGUUCCCACAGCAACCACCUCUGAGGUCAACUGAAGUGUGCAGGUCUCUCUUGUACUAAGGAGUUGUGAAUGAGACUGCCAUCGCUCCGGUCCAGAACGAACCUCGCUGGACAGCUCAGGCAGAGGGAGACUUCCCCAUGAAUGGAGCCCCAGCACUUCAGGAGCCUUUACUAAAACAGAGAGAAAGACCAGAAGACCACAGCCUGAACCAACCCUUUGGCUUUAGAAGACCACAGCCUGAACCUUUGGCUUUCAAACUCAAUUCAACUUCAAAUAUCUUCACAAAUAACAGACCGCAAUCAUCUGAGAAAGAGAUCGAGGAAUAAGCAUCACAGACACUAUUGAAGCCAGACUCUGGUCUGACUCUAAGACACCCAUACACAGUCAGCCUGCCCCUGCUGUCCUCCGAUGGAGACCCCGGCUAGAGCCAGACUCUGCAGCAACAUUACAGGUUUGAAGAAACAACUCUGAGGCGCGAAUGUACGUGGGUGGAGAAUGUCAAGCUCCAACCUGUGAACAGG